AUUGAACGCUGGCGGCAUGCUUUACACAUGCAAGUCGAACGGUAACAGGCCGCAAGGUGCUGACGAGUGGCGAACGGGUGAGUAAUGCAUCGGAACGUGCCCAGUCGUGGGGGAUAACGCAGCGAAAGCUGCGCUAAUACCGCAUACGAUCUCUGGAUGAAAGCGGGGGACCGAAAGGCCUCGCGCGAUUGGAGCGGCCGAUGUCAGAUUAGGUAGUUGGUGGGGUAAAGGCCCACCAAGCCAACGAUCUGUAGCUGGUCUGAGCCGAUGAUCAGCCACACUGGGACUGAGAAACGGCCCAGACGCCUACGGGAGGCAGCAGUGGGGAAUUUUGGACAAUGGGGGCAACCCUGAUCCAGCCAUUCCGCGUGAGUGAAGAAGGCCUUCGGGUUGUAAAGCUCUUUUGUCCGGAGCGAAACGGUGCUGGUGAAUAGCCAGCGCUACUGACGGUACCGGAAGAAUAAGCACCGGCUAACUACGUGCCAGCCGCCGCGGUAA
rnacentral:rRNA from 1 species